rnacentral:lncRNA from 15 species
AUCACAUUUUGCUGUGUAUAAGUCAGCCUACAGUGUCAUUCAGCUUCGGUAAAGUGAUAUCCAAUUAAUCGUUUUGGUGUUGUUGUUGUUUGUAAUAAUACAGCUGCUGUCACUCUGCAAACAAAUGCUGCAACAGCCAGUGAUGGUCAGCAAAUUCAGCAAACAAAUGAGGACUCUUUGUUUUAUUCUACACCAAACUUUACCAGGAGGAAAGCUGGCAAAGCAGGCAAAGAAAACGCAACAGCAAAGGAAGAGACGAUCUACACUGAUGUCAGGGCUUUUGUGAUAUGAUCUAUGAUAUAAAUAAUGGAUUUAGUAAUGGAUGCUUAUGUAUGUUUUGUUGCAUAGUACGUGGAAAAGUACACUGCGACAGCAGAGGUAGCACCUCAGAAGUUAAAUAAACUGAAAGAUGUUUUGUUCGUAACUUUGACAUUAUAUUUCUAUAUGUUUUCAAAGUGUUUGCAAACAAUUAAUAAUAUUUCUGAGAAAAUUAAACCACAUUUAAGUUACGCUUUUGGUGAGAUCCUGUAGCAUUGCGUAUCCCAUAUCUAUUAAAGUUAGUUUCAUUCAUCUUUAAAGACCCGUGAAGGAUUUUAACUGUUUUAAGACUGUUAACUGCCUCUGAAGACCUAUGUAUCCUAACAUAUGUAUCAAUGCAAUGCAAAAGAAUUUGUGAACAACUUGAUUAAUUUCAUGUGUGUACGUCUUGCUUCCUUUGUUAAUACAAACACUUCCACAUCUAUAAUGAACACUUCUUAAUUAAUUUACCGAAAAUGAAUUGGGUAUGUUUUUGUUUUUAUUUUGAAAAGACUUUUAGUUGCAGUCAUUGCAGGAAACAGAGUAAAAAAAGUGUGACCAAUACAUUGAAUUUAAUGGUACGUAAAUGUUUGGGUUAGGGAACAUCAACCUGGGGGGGAAUGCUAAUGAAUCAGGUUUUUUAAUUCUGAAACCUUGUUAAAUUUUAGUGGUUGUGAAUAUGCAAUUUAACUGUGUCUCCCUCUUUUUCACCCCUAAAAGUAAAUGGUGAAUUGAUGGUGAGUGAAAUCCAUUGAAGCAAAAAACACUGUAUUGAAAAUGUUACGAGUUUCAAAUAUGUAACUGGAGUAACAAAUGAUUUUUAUCUGGGUUCACUGCGCUCAACUCUCCUAGAUGAAACCCUGGAAAACAGAAUCACGGAGUGAGUGAGUGAAAGAGCGAACCGCCAUCUUCGUCUCCAAAUCUCUGUCUCUUUAUUAUAAAUUUGCAAAAUCAUGGUAUAAAACAAUAAACAUUCCCCUAGUGUAAACAUGUUUCAGUUUCAGUGUUCAUUUGUUAAUUUAAAUUUAAACACAUUAAUACAGUUGUCUCUACUCUCCACACAUCAGUUGGCAACAUCUUUCACACACACAUUCACAGAAAUCAUCCUGUCUUUACAAAAAUAAAUAUCACUCUUUCUUUAAAGUGCAAUAAUAUCAAAAGGAUAAAUCAUGUUUUAAUCUAUAUUUAUAUAGUUGUUUUUAACUCCAGAAACCCGCCAUCAUACUAAUGUAAUAAUGUGACUCAUAAACCCUCUUUGGCUGUAAAUUAAUAUUUAAAUGACUUUAGAGUCAAAACAUGAAACACCAUACACAUAGUGAUAACUGUUCAACUUAUGAUACAUUUUUAAACACAGACCAGACACCUAACUGCUUCUGUAUAACUUUAGGAAGAACUCCCUUUAAGUUUUAAACAACAUACCUCUCUUCUCUUAACAUUAACAAUCAUUUAUAACAUGUCAGGAUAUCUUAAAAACUGAAUAAAACAUUACCAGGGAGUGAGGACACCAGCACCCACAAUCACACAUACAGUCACAGUACACAGCUGCUAAUUGUUAGCUCACUAGCUCCAUUGUAUACAAAGGCCCGUUUCCCGCGGUUAUAAACGCGGCUCUUUAGCUCGGCUUCAAACAUCAAAAAUUCCACAACAGACUCAUCACAGCUCCAAUACACCACCGUACAUUUCAGGAGGAAACAGUUUGUAAUUUUUACAGAGUACCAACCUGGAAAACAGAAUCACGGAGUGAGUGAGUGAAAGAGCGAACCGCCAUCUUCGUCUCCAAAUCUCUGUCUGAGAGAAGAGGACAGAGUUUUGAAGAGCUCAUUCUCAAACUCUCGACCCUGGUCAUGGUGGAGUUUGGCCGGGUAUCCAAAUCUGGG